UACAGAGGGGGCAAGCGUUGUUCGGAAUUAUUGGGCGUAAAGCGCGCGUAGGCGGCUUUGCAAGUCGGGUGUGAAAUCCCUCAGCUUAACUGAGGAAGUGCGCUCGAAACUGCAGAGCUUGAGUACCAAAGAGGAUGGCGGAAUUCCCCAAGUAGAGGUGAAAUUCGUAGAUAUGGGGAGGAACACCGGUGGCGAAGGCGGCCAUCUGGGUGGUCACUGACGCUGAGGCGCGAAAGCGUGGGUAUCAAACAGG
rnacentral:rRNA from 1 species